CCUACGGGUGACUGCAGUGAGGAAUAUUGGUCAAUGGACGAGAGUCUGAACCAGCCAAGUAGCGUGAAGGAUGACUGCCCUAUGGGUUGUAAACUUCUUUUAUAUGGGAAUAAAAUGUUCCACGUGUGGGAUUUUGUAUGUACCAUAUGAAUAAGGAUCGGCUAACUCCGUGCCAGCAGCCGCGGUAAUACGGAGGAUCCGAGCGUUAUCCGGAUUUAUUGGGUUUAAAGGGAGCGUAGGUGGAUUGUUAAGUCAGUUGUGAAAGUUUGCGGCUCAACCGUAAAAUUGCAGUUGAAACUGGCAGUCUUGAGUACAGUAGAGGUGGGCGGAAUUCGUGGUGUAGCGGUGAAAUGCUUAGAUAUCACGAAGAACUCCGAUUGCGAAGGCAGUUCACUGGACUGCAACUGACACUGAGGCUCGAAAGUGUGGGUAUCAAACAGGAUUAGAUAACCUAGUAGUC
rnacentral:rRNA from 1 species